rfam:Gossypium hirsutum cultivar TM-1 chromosome 19, whole genome shotgun sequence
UGUUAAAAAAUUAAUCUAUUUCUACUACUAAAAACUAGUAUGGCUAACAGAAUAACCAAAUAGUUACACAUUGUGUCACUUGUACCUUGUAUUGAUGUACAUAAAUCAAUUUUUUAACAGUAAAAAUAGAUGAAACUUUUAACA